AGCUGAAAUUUGUUAACAAAAAUUGUAGCCGUAAUGCAUGCACCUGUAGUUGGGGUUUCGCUCUGGUGGUAGGGAGAUGCUAAUGGAGCAGACGGUGCAGGGCCCGGGAUGGCUUGAGGAGGCAAGCCCGGACAGCGCCGCUCGCGCAUUGCCUGUAUCUUGGCGGCUAAAACAAUCAUCUGUUUUCUUUUAUUUAAAGAUAUGUUGUAUUGCCCUAUAAUUAUAUUUGUAGUUGUUCCCUUUCUGAUGCAGGCAAAUUACGAGCAUUGCACUAUUGUCUGCAAAUAUAGGACAGAAGAGGGAGCUAAAAGAUGCUCGAAAGUCACUGAUAGAGUCUGCUAAGGACCUGCAGGAAACAAACAAUAUAUUGCAUUUUGCCUACAGCACCAAUCAAUGCAGGGCUUUACCCAGCGAUAGCCGAAAAAGUAGAAAACAAGGCAUCAUACUAUUGUCAUUGAAAGUUUUGAUGGAUUUGCCCAAGCUAAUUUGUAGUAUGAAUUUGUGCUUCGCUUGAUUAGAG